AUUGAACGCUGGCGGCAUGCCUUACACAUGCAAGUCGAACGGCAGCAUGAUCUAGCUUGCUAGAUUGAUGGCGAGUGGCGAACGGGUGAGUAAUACAUCGGAACGUGCCCUGUAGUGGGGGAUAACUAGUCGAAAGAUUAGCUAAUACCGCAUACGACCUGAGGGUGAAAGUGGGGGACCGCAAGGCCUCAUGCUAUAGGAGCGGCCGACGUCUGAUUAGCUAGUUGGUGGGGUAAAGGCCCACCAAGGCGACGAUCAGUAGCUGGUCUGAGAGGACGAUCAGCCACACUGGGACUGAGACACGGCCCAGACUCCUACGGGAGGCAGCAGUGGGGAAUUUUGGACAAUGGGCGAAAGCCUGAUCCAGCAAUGCCGCGUGUGUGAAGAAGGCCUUCGGGUUGUAAAGCACUUUUGUCCGGAAAGAAAUGGCUCUGGUUAAUACCUGGGGUCGAUGACGGUACCGGAAGAAUAAGGACCGGCUAACUACGUGCCAGCAGCCGCGGUAAUACGUAGGGUCCAAGCGUUAAUCGGAAUUACUGGGCGUAAAGCGUGCGCAGGCGGUUGUGCAAGACCGAUGUGAAAUCCCCGAGCUUAACUUGGGAAUUGCAUUGGUGACUGCACGGCUAGAGUGUGUCAGAGGGGGGUAGAAUUCCACGUGUAGCAGUGAAAUGCGUAGAGAUGUGGAGGAAUACCGAUGGCGAAGGCAGCCCCCUGGGAUAACACUGACGCUCAUGCACGAAAGCGUGGGGAGCAAACAGG
rnacentral:rRNA from 1 species